AUGCAAACGAGAAGUGGGCAUGAGCGUGUCAUGCAAGGAUGGCGGGGUGCUCCUGGAUUCCGGGUUCCCACAGGACGGCGGCAUGGAAAACAAGGAAUGAACGUGCAAGGAUCAAACGGGAACGGUGCAAACAUACGAUUCAUCUCAUACAACACAUGCAUUCGGUCCACGGACGUUGUCUCGGGGUUAUACCUUCGAAGCGUGCAUUCGGUGCGGAACGCGUUUCGUAGAGGAAGUAGUCGUUCACGGGCCGUAGUGGAAGUAGUUGUUCUCGCGACGGUAGUGGAAGUAGUUGUACUCGUUCAUCUCGGAGAGGUACUUGACGAAUCCAGCAUCUUCGGGGCGACGGUAGUGGUUCACGGACGUCGUGGAAGUAGUUGUACAUGGCGUCGGUAG
rnacentral:rRNA from 1 species